AAACGAUAGCUAAUACCGCAUAACAAUGGAUGACACAUGUCAUUUAUUUNAAAGGGGCGAAUUGCUCCACUACAAGAAUGGACCUGCGUUGUAUUAGCUAGUAGGUGAGGUAAUGGCUCACCUAGGCGACGAUACAUAGCCGACCUGAGAGGGUGAUCGGCCACACUGGGACUGAGACACGGCCCAGACUCCUACGGGAGGCAGCAUG
rnacentral:rRNA from 1 species